GGCCCGAUGGUUUAGUGGUAUAAUUCUCGCUUAGGGUGAUCCUGGGCAAUUUGCGAGAGGUCCCGGGUUCAAUUCCCGGUUGGGCCC
rnacentral:tRNA from 2 species